rnacentral:rRNA from 1 species
AGUAACAACCAUUUGAGUCUGGGAUUUCUGAAUGGGGAAACCCACUUACAUAAGUAAGUAUCAUUAACUGAAUACAUAGGUUAAUGAGGCGAACCGGGGGAACUGAAACAUCUAAGUACCCCGAGGAAAAGAAAUCAACCGAGAUUCCGAAAGUAGCGGCGAGCGAAAUUGGACUAGCCCUUAAGCUUUACACGCGUUAGACGAACGGUCUGGAAAGUCCGACGAUACAGGGUGAUAGUCCCGUAGUUGACGAUGUGUGUUCAGUGAAAUCGAGUAGGGCGGGACACGUGAUAUCCUGUCUGAAUAUGGGGGGACCAUCCUCCAAGGCUAAAUACU